ensembl:lncRNA
GCAUAUGCCUCCUCCUCUGCCCAGCAAGACCCCUCCUCCACCUCCUCCCAAAACCACCAGAAAACAGACCUCCAUAGACUCCGGCAUCGGCCAGUGAACAAAGAGGGAGAAGAGACCAAACCUGGCGACGCGCUGACAGGCAGACAAAACCAUCCAGGACACAUUUUAGCUCCUCCGGUUUUUAUUUUCGUACCAUUCCUUGUUGGGCUUGACAAGAUGAAUACCUCCCUGCUCUCAUCUCCCUGUGUUCUGUUUUAUUUUUUUUUUGUGUGCCUUGAAUGGGUGCGGUAGGGAGCAUUUUGCACACAGCAAUAAAUUACUAUCUGUUUGCAAGUUUAAGGAAGACGGAUAAAGCUUUGGACCAAUGGCUUUGCAAAACUGACCCAAGUCUCACAAUGCCCACUAAAACCUUGGCUCAUGUUCCACUAUGUACAGAGGUUUGUAUAUAUAUAUUUUAUUGCAUUUUCUAAGUGAUUUUUGUAUUAACGUGUAUCUCUAGAUUAUGUGGCAUUUUCACCAAUCAGGCAUAAUGUUAUGACCACCUGCCUAAUAUGCAACUAACUCAGGACUAAACCAGAACUAAACCAGAACUAAACCAGGACUAAACCAGGACUAAACCAGGACUAAACCAGGUCUAAACCAAGUCUAACCCAAGUCUAACUCAGGACCACUGCAAACCGGGAAUGCCAUCAUAGGACCUACACUAAACCAGUAUUAAACAAAGUCCAAACCAGGACUAAACCAGAUCUAAUCUAGGAUUAAGCCAGGACCAAACAGGGCCAAACAGGACUAAACAAGGUCUAAACUUGGAUUAAACCUGGUUUAAGACAAAUUCAAAGUACCUCUGAUUGUGACCACUCAUCAAGAACUGCACUAAACCAGGACUAAACUAGGUCUAAAGAAGGACCAAUCCAGAGCUAAACUAGGACUAAACCAAGUCCAACUCAGGACCAUUGCAGACCGGAAAUACCACCACAGGACCUACACUAAACCAGUAUUAAACAAAGUCCAAACCGGGACUAAACCAGGAUUAAGCCAAGUCUAAAAUAUCCUCAUUUGAUACUGACCACUGCACUAAACUAGUAUUAAACCAAUUAAACCAACCCAGGACUAAACCAGGGCCAAACCAGGGCCAAACCAGGGCCAAACCAGGACCAAACCAGGACCAUGCCAGCAAUAAACCUGGACCAAGCUAGGACUAAACAACAUUUAAACAUGCACUAAACCAGGUCCAAGGCACCUUUACUGACCACCCCACUAGAGCUGCUCGAAACAAGGACUAAACAGAAACCAGACCAGAACUAAACCAGGUCUAAAAUAGGACUACAAUAGGUCUAAACAAGGUCUAAACCUGGACUAAACCAGUUUUAAACCUAAUUCAAAGCACGUUUUAUAGAUUCUGAUAACUGCAGAAAGGACCACCCAUCAAGAGCUGAACUAAACUGGACUAAACCAGGACUAAACUAGGGCUAGAUCAGGUCUAAAUCAGAUCUAAACCAGCUCUGAUAAAUACUGACCAGCGCAGACUAAGAUCAUCCCACAAGAGCGGCACUAAACCAGGACUAAACUAGGAUUAAACUAAGACUUAAGCAGGACUAACCAGGUCUAAAGCAUCUAACUAUGUUCUCUAGCCAGCAAAAUAUGGCUAUUUCCAAACUCGUAUACGUUUUCUCUACUUCUAACACAUACAUUUAACAAACACGAUCUGUUUUUUCCAUAAUCCUUCAGUGGUCGUAAUGCUAUGGCUGAUCGGUUCAUUCUAAGAACAAAAAGGGCUUGUAAACGUGUGAUUUCAGAGCUUCCCGUUUGGCCGAGUGGUUCAUUUUUGGAGUGCACAUGUCACUAACUCCUUGUCCACAUAGAUCACCACUGUAACCUUUAAACUCAGAUCUCAUCGACUUUUGCCAAUUCACUACUGACCAAGGAAUAAACUUUCAAAUGUAUUUUU